GUGGGGAAUCUUGCGCAAUGGGCGAAAGCCUGACGCAGCCAUGCCGCGUGAAUGAUGAAGGUCUUAGGAUUGUAAAAUUCUUUCACCGGGGACGAUAAUGACGGUACCCGGAGAAGAAGCUCCGGCUAACUUCGUGCCAGCAGCCGCGGUAAUACGAAGGGGGCUAGCGUUGCUCGGAAUUACUGGGCGUAAAGGGCGCGUAGGCGGACAGCUUAGUCAGAGGUGAAAGCCCAGGGCUCAACCUUGGAAUUGCCUUUGAUACUGGCUGUCUUGAGUUUGGGAGAGGUGAGUGGAACGCCGAGUGUAGAGGUGAAAUUCGUAGAUAUUCGGAAGAACACCAGUGGCGAAGGCGACUCACUGGCCCAAUACUGACGCUGAGGCGCGAAAGCGUGGGGAGCAAACAGGAUUAGAAACCCGAGUAGUCC
rnacentral:rRNA from 1 species